CACGUAGGGCGCAAGCGUUGUCCGGAAUCAUUGGGCGUAAAGAGCUCGUAGGCGGUCUGUUGCGUCCGCUGUGAAAACUCGGGGCUUAACCCCGAGCCUGCAGUGGAUACGGGCAGACUAGAGGUAGGUAGGGGAGAAUGGAAUUCCCGGUGUAGCGGUGAAAUGCGCAGAUAUCGGGAGGAACACCGGUGGCGAAGGCGGUUCUCUGGGCCUUACCUGACGCUGAGGAGCUAAAGCGUGGGGAGCGAACCGG
rnacentral:rRNA from 1 species